UACGAAGGGGGCUAGCGUUGUUCGGAAUUACUGGGCGUAAAGCGCACGUAGGCGGAUAUUUAAGUCAGGGGUGAAAUCCCAGAGCUCAACUCUGGAACUGCCUUUGAUACUGGGUAUCUUGAGUAUGGAAGAGGUGAGUGGAAUUCCGAGUGUAGAGGUGAAAUUCGUAGAUAUUCGGAGGAACACCAGUGGCGAAGGCGGCUCACU
rnacentral:rRNA from 1 species